rnacentral:tRNA from 1 species
GCAAGUAUAGUUUAAUUUCAAACAUUAGGCUGUGAUCCUAAAAAUAGAAGUUAGAUCCUUCUUACCUGCC